UUUUUAUCCGCCAUACAACCCGUCUCCCCCUUCUUCUAUUUCUCCUCCGCCACCUCUGCCUCCUCCACCUCCACCUCCAUCGUCCUUUUCUCAGGGUUUGACCUCAAUCAACAAGCUUUCUGUAAAGGUAGUUGACGGUAACAUUUCUCACGCCCCGAAAGCUACCUUGACGGCCAUUGCCAACUUUUUUCCUGGAAACCACACACCUUCAUUCAAUGCCCCCGACUACUCAC
rnacentral:lncRNA from 1 species